rnacentral:rRNA from 1 species
UGAGGAAUAUUGGUCAAUGGGCGAGAGCCUGAACCAGCCAAGUAGCGUGCAGGAUGACGGCCCUAUGGGUUGUAAACUGCUUUUAUAUGGGAAUAAAGUGAGGGACGUGUCCCUUAUUGCAUGUACCAUACGAAUAAGGACCGGCUAAUUCCGUGCCAGCAGCCGCGGUAAUACGGAAGGUCCAGGCGUUAUCCGGAUUUAUUGGGUUUAAAGGGAGCGUAGGCUGUUUGUUAAGCGUGUUGUGAAAUGUAAGAGCUCAACUUUUAGAUUGCAGCGCGAACUGGCAGACUUGAGUGCGCACAACGUAGGCGGAAUUCAUGGUGUAGCGGUGAAAUGCUUAGAUAUCAUGACGAACUCCGAUUGCGAAGGCAGCUUACGGGAGCGCAACUGACGCUAAAGCUCGAAGGUGUGGGUAUCGAACAGG